CCUUGUCAUAGGUCCAGGAGCCGAACUUCAUCUUGCAGUUCUGCUGGUCGAAGGGGAAGAAGGUGACGUCGAUGCUGCAGGAGCUCUUGUAGAUGGCCGGGGGCACCCAGUGCACAGUGCCCGUGGAGAAGAGUAAGGAAAGAGUUGAAUAGACACAAGGCCAGCCACGCCAUGUGGGAGAUGGAGUUAGCACUCAAAGCAUGUCUUCCAAAGUUCGCAGAUGAUGAGUCGGCCCCUCAGGAGAGGGACCCAUUUCCACCUGGGAUCAUCCUUGCUCAGAAGAGACAAAACAUCUUUGCGGGUGAAGGUACUCCCUUGAGUGUAUCCAUUUAACAUGUGUUUUUGAGCCAGCCUCAUCCACUAGGGCCUGUAACAGAACUGUGCAGAAGAGGAAUAUGAGAUAAGGUCCCUGUCCUUAAGGAGUCGUGAGGAAAUGAGACGUCUCCAGGAACCACUGCAACAACAGGGAGGCAGUUGCCAACACUAGGAGGGUGGUCCGGGUGUUCCCUGGACGCUUUGUGGGGAAACUCCCUUCUGGAAAGCGAGCAGGGUCAUGGAGAAGCCUGCCGAAGCGAGGAUUUGGCUGAGAAAUGGGCAGAGAGCCUUACCGGUAGAGGGUCCCACAGGGAGCAGGUGGGAAGUGCAAAACUCACAGGGCGUGCUGCGGCUAAGAGCAGAGGGCGAGUCGGGGGUAUCAUGGAACUAGGCAUUGGAGGACCCACAAGGGGUCUGGGGACACUGGAAUAAUGGUGACCUGUCAGGCAGCGCUUCCUGGAGGCCGCAGUCCCUGAUUCUGCCAGGAGGUGGCUGGGGGGCUCCUGCUUAAGUCUUAACCAUCCUCCCUCCCCCUCCAAUUCCCACAGUCAAUCCUAAACUCCAAGAAAUCAGCAGAGUGCUUGGAAACACGGGGCUUUUUUUCCCCCAUGAAGUAGUUUCAUGGUAGAGAUAUAGGCAGGCUGGAAAU